rnacentral:lncRNA from 1 species
AUAAAAAUAAUUAUGCCCAAAGAUUUCCAUUUAGAGUUAGAAAAUAGUAGAUAAGAAUUGUUUCUAUUGGAAAUGAAGCAAUGUGGCUCAUUUUCUAAAAACUAGUUCCUAGAGUCAGCAUUGUCUCAACUACACUAAAUAUUUUAACUGUAUUUAAUGAUGGGAUUAUAGUAUUUCUUUGUGUGUGUAAUAAAACUUGAAACAAUCUUACAACAAAUUUAAUUGCUUAAUCCUUACCUUCCUCCGAGUUAACCUAAGUAAACUUUGAUUGGUUUUUUCCGUAAGUAUUUUAGACAUUAAGUUGCCACAUAUUACAUGUUUAUUUUGGUUUAGCUGUGUGUUCCUGGGAUCAAUCUAGCACCAGCUUUUUUUACUGAUAUCUGACUAAAUAUUCUCAGAAUUGGAUACCUUUUUUUUUUUUUUUUUUUUUUUUUUUUUUUUUUUUNNNNNNNNNNNNNNNNNNNNNNNNCAGGCUGGGGUCGAAUCGGAGCUGUUGCUGCUGGCCUACGCUAGAGCCACAGCAAGGCCAGAUCUAGCCAUGUCACGGCAACACCUGAUCCUUAAACCUACUGAGCAUGGCCAGGGAUUGAACCCUCAAUCUCAUGGUUCUAGUUGGAUUCGUUUCCUCUGUGCCACGACAGGAACUCCAGAAUUGGAUACCUUUAAUAUCUUCAUGGAAACUUCAUUUUGGCCUUUUGUCAAGUAUUUGGUGAAGUGCCUGACAUCUCAUUGGUGUUCUACAAACGUUCACCAAAAUAAACAGUGA